rnacentral:misc_RNA from 1 species
CGCCGUAACGGCCCUCUUCUCCGGUGUUUCCCUCGUCUCUACUCUCAACAAAUCUCCAUUAGUUGCUCGCCCAGUUGAAAGAUACGAUACGGUUUUCUCCUAUAUCCUUCUUAUUUCCUCAAAGUGAAAAAAGCGAGAAAAUUUUUGCUUAAAAAGGAAGCAAUGUAAUGUAAUAAUCUGUGUUUACUGGGACAUUUCGAUGAAGUAAAAACUACGAUGCAAUCAAUUUAGCGAAUGGAACGAAUUUCACAAGAACACUGUUAGAUCUUGCUGCAUCCAAUCAACUUCCUUCCUCUAGGUAAAGAGAUAUAGUUUUUUAGUUCUUCAUUAGUAUUCUGCGG